GAGAAAAUAUGGGUUUAUCUGAAAGGCUUCACUGAAGCAUGGUGUUUAUAUAUUAUAUUGUGCAUGUUAUUUUCAUAUGACUAAGAAUAAUAUGGUGUCGUGUAUUUUUCUUUGUUAACAUGUAUUUUAAUGCAGGUGCGUACUGAGUUACAGAAUAUACCAGAUCUCUGAUCAGAAAAUGUCUCUGAAAGUUCUCCUGUUUGGCUCAAUUAUAGGCGUAACCAACGUAGUCAACGCAAAAAAGGAAGAUCUAUUCAAAGGGUGUACAAGUUAUAUUAAUGACACCAACCAAUGUAUGACUGAAUAUCCCGUAUUCACUGACGUUAAUAAAUCACGUCAACAAAUUUUGACUCCUAUUACCUUGAAUGCUUCGAUGGUGUGUAGCAAUAAGACAGAAUACGUAUCGCUGAUGACCUGUAUUCGAGGUGCCAUGAGCAAAUGUCUCUCGGAGGAAUUUAAUAGCAUUUUUCCUUCAGCGAAAGCUUAUGUUACAAACUACUUGUAUUUUUGCCAGAACAAUGAAUAUUUUCACUUGAAAUGUGCGAUAGAAAUUAGUCGAGCAAGCUUGGGAUGUAUUCUUGAAAAUGUUAACAUGAUAAACGUACCCACCCUCGACGAUGGGUUCAAUAAAUGGAAAGACUACGCAUGCAGAUCUAUAGAAAUUGGCAAUGAGUGUUUUGUCGAGAAAAUCUCAUCCGAAUCCUGUCGGAGUACAUUUGAAAUAAUGACGGAUAUGAAUCAAGUAUUAAUACCACCGGUUUGUUCUACUGUUAAUGUUACCACCGAUAACCCUAAUAAUAGUGUCAACAUAAAUAAUAAUAACGUUAUCUUGUUCAUGGUUGGCCUUGUAAUAGGUGUAUUUGGUCAUGGAAUAUAUUUUCCUAUCUAAUUAGUAAAUCUAUUGUAUAUUAUCAUGAAAUAUUUCAUUAGUAAAUCUAUUGCAUUUUAUCAUGAAAUAUAUUUUACUAUCUAUUAUCAUGAUAUAUUGUUUGGAUAGUCUAUUGUAUAUUAUAAUGAUAUAUAUUUGGAUAUAUAAUUUAUUGUCAUUAUAUAUUAUAUAAUGUAAUCUAUUGUAUAUUAUCGUGCUAUAUGUUUUACAAUAUAUUGUUAUCUAAUUCUUUGGGGUUUCUUUUGUCGUGGUAUCUGUUAUGUCAUGGUAUAUUUUUGGUCAUGGUAUAUGUUUUGUCAUGGUAUAUGUUUUGUCAUGGUAUAUGUUUUGUCAUGGUAUAUGUUUUUGUCAUGGUAUCUGUUUUGUCAUGGUACAUGUUUUGUCAUGGUAUAUGUUUUGUCAUGGUAUAUGUUUUUGUCAUGGUAUAUGUUUUGUCAUGGUACAUGUUUUUGUCAUGGUAUAUGUUUUGUCAUGGUAUAUGUUUUUUGUCAUGGUAUAUGUUUUGUCAUGGUACAUGUUUUUGUCAUGGUAUAUGUUUUGUCAUGGUAUAUGUUUUUGUCAUGGUAUAUGUUUUUGUCAUGGUAUAUUACAAAAUUAUAAGUAUAUUGUUUAAAAUUAAAAUUAUAUAAAGAGUUUGAUAAUUAUUAUAUAAAUCUUUAAAUUACAAGGAAGAAUGUAUAUCAUCAAAGAACCGUGUAGUGUAGCUACAAAUGUGCCAACUCCAAGACGCCCUCACUCGUUCCGUCUCGCCUAGCCGCCUCUUCGUCGAUUCGUUUGUAUUCUGGGUUUGUAAACCCUUCUAGACGAAGGAUGUCAAAAGAUUACACAUCUGGCCAUUGCCCGAUCAAGUCUUCGGUACAGAUUGCUUUACCAGACAAAGGCCUUGCGUUAGUCGUGUCAAGCUAGUGCCAUGUUUGAUCAUCUGAUAAGAUUGCUAAUUGAUUUCAAUGUAUGGAGGAUUUUAAGUGAUAUUUCCUCAAUUGUGUAACAGUCUGUCUGAUUGUCCAUCCGUCCGUCUGUCUGUCCGUCACACAUUUUGGGACACAAUAACUCUCUUUCGAAUUAGCUAGAAUGUUCACACGUGGUGUAAGUGUUCAUUAGGUCAAUGCCUUGAUGGAGUUCGAAGAUGAGCAUUUUCUGCUUAGGGUAUGCAGAGAUAAGCAAUUUGAUUGGUUGAUGCUUUGGGGCACGAUAGAGAGUGAUCGAUCUUAGUGUAUAGUUGAUAAUCAGUUUGAUUGCUUGAUACUUUUGAAAAAAAUAAAUGUGCUAUUAAUUAAUAUGUGUCAUCUAUUUAUUUUUUGAUUUCGGCGGUGGACAUCAGCCUCACUGUUGGCUUGUUAAUUAUGGAAUGGGUUUUAAUUGGAGAGAGAGAGAGAAUUAGGGUUUAACGUCCACUCGACACAAACUAGGUCAUUUCGGGACUAACACAUGGUUCAAUUUUAUUUCUAUAAUUUGCUUGAGCGUAGGGGUCUUUAGCAGUGAGAGGAAACCGGAGGACCCGGAGAAAAUCCACGAGGUUGGACAGGUCACCCUAUUCCUUGUCGAGUACAACCGGGGAUUCGAAACCACGCCAGUUGACUCAAUGACAGACCUUAUGAUACAGCACGCACGUGCUAAACAUUCGGCCAUCCAAUCCCCCAGGAUUUAAUUGGUAUCAUUAUCAUUCGUGCAGUGUCUGUUUAAAGAUGGGUUCCCGCGUACAAACUGGGUGAUUUAAUGGUAUAUAUGGACUAAAAACAUAUUCAAAUUAAUUAAUUUGUCAUAGUUAUACUUCAAAUCCUUCUCAAACAUUGUAAUUGCGAAGGAAUGCCCUGCUAUUAAAAUUCGAUCAAACCAGGUCAGGUUUACGUCACGUCUUGGAAAUCAGCGGAGAAUUCAUUGCAUACAUAAGACGAUGUUGUCUUUAAUCGCUUACUAUUUAUUACAAAUAUCGAAUCCUAAUUAAAUUCUCGGAUUAUCCACUACCCGCGUCUUUUUCCGUCAUUUUUAUCUCAGAAAGUGUUGUACGUCUAACUCUUCAUAAAAUUUAUCAACUUGUACAUCAAGCGCUCAAUGUUCGCGUGUGACCUUUGACAUCACGCGUGCAGAAAUUCUUAAUCGUCGGGCUGUUGAAUAGGGGAACCCUUACAUUUUUGUCCUGUAUACGCUCCAUGAGUGUUUUCGGGGAAUCCAGUAUUUUUCUAGUAAGAUUGGAUAUCUCUACUUUCCAUAUAUACCAAAAUUGCCAUACUUUUAUUGGAAAUAACCACCCGAUAAAUACUUUUCUGGGAACCCAUAUAUAAGAAAUCCUGCAAUUCGUAUGUCAACGGGAAGAUUUAUUAAUUAAAGCUGUAAAUUUCCUAACUAUCUUUUACGUCUUACUAAUUGCCACUUUUAUUUUAGGAUUUUAAUUCGUUUUUAUUAUUCAAAGACUUUUUAUUUGUAUAAUUCAUUGAUCUUUUAUAUGAAAUGCUUUACCGAACAAUGGUGUUAAUGUAUUGUAUUGUGCAUGUUGUUUUCAUAUGACCAAGAAGGUAAGCCAAUGUUGUCC